rnacentral:rRNA from 1 species
AUUGAACGCUGGCGGCAGGCUUAACACAUGCAAGUCGAACGAGCGGCGGACGGGUGAGUAAUGUCUGGGACACUGCCUGAUGGAGGGGGAUAACUACUGGAAACGGUAGCUAAUACCGCAUAACAUCAGCUGUGCCCAGAUUGGAUUAGCUAGUCGGUGGGGUAAUGGCUCACCUAGGCGACGAUCCCUACGUGAUCUGAGAGGAGAACCAGCCAAACUGGAACUGAGACACGGCCCAGACUCCUACGGGAGGCAGCAGUGGGGAAUAUUGCACAAUGGGCGCAAGCCUGAUCCAGCCAUGCCGCGUGUGUGAAGAAGGCAUUCGGGUUGUAAAGCACUGUCAGCGAGGAGGCGUUACUCGCAGAAGAAGCACCGGCUAACUCCGUGCCAGCAGCCGCGGUAAUUC